rnacentral:tRNA from 1 species
GGGUGGUUCAAUUGGUAGAGUGCUCACCUAGCAUGCCUGAGGCACUGGGUUCGAUACUCAGCACCA